rnacentral:rRNA from 1 species
UACGUAGGGGCAAGCGUUGUCCGGAUUUAUUGGGCGUAAAGCGCUCGCAGGUGGUUCGAUGCGUCGUGCGUGAAAGACCCCGGCUCAACUGGGGAGGGUCGUGCGAUACGGUCGAACUGGAGGCCAGUAGGGGGAUGCGGAAUUCCGGGUGUAGUGGUGGAAUGCGUAGAGAUCCGGAGGAACACCAGCGGCGAAGGCGGCAUCCUGGACUGGUCCUGACACUCAUGAGCGAAAGCGUGGGGAGCGAUCCGG